rnacentral:misc_RNA from 1 species
UUUUGAAUAAGAAAUAAAUAAAAUGCUGUUAUUUUCCUCUGAGUUUCUUCUUUCAUUUGGGAUUGAACAAUUUUUUGUUCAACUCAGUCAUUUCGCGAACAAGAAACCUAACAAAAUACAAAAGAGAAAAUCCUACAUUAAUACAUUUAUCUUUGUAUCGUCCCUUUCCCAAACAUACUGCUUCACAGCAUCUCUCAGAUCCUCGAAACUAUCACACCCUUCAAAAAAUUUAACCAACUUCCUCAACUCCCCAUCACCAAGAUCAUCAAUGAAAGGCCUCACCGGAACUGCAUUUUCCGGCUGGAAAAUGUAGCAGUUAGGAUUAUCAUCAACGAUCACUACCCUAUUCAAGUCCCUACCCAUCCCAGACAAGUCCUUAACAUACUUCCCAUCAACUUCCUUGCAUGAAUCCCGAUAUAGACGGUGUGAAAUUAACCCCUUCACGUCUAGCUUGUCAAGAACCAACGAUGCGUAUUCCUUUAAUCCGGCAGUGAACACCACCAACUCGUACUUUGCAGCCAGUGCCUCCAAGAAAGCAUCAACUCCCGGCCGCUUCAACACAUAAAAAUUCAUAAAUUCUCCAUCAAUAUUUGGCCUCACUAUGAAAUCAAACACUUGAGGUGGUGGGUCUGGUUUGGAAUGCACCAAGGUCUCAUCAAGAUCAAGAAAGAUGGUCCUUCUGGUGGGAGAAAUCAAGGGCGGUAAUUGUUCGUAAAAGAAAAGCGCACGGCAAAUGUUAUCUCUUUCAAGGUCGUAUUCCUCUUGGAGUUCUUGUCUCUGGUCCUUGAAUCCUUUCUUCAAGAUUUUGUAGCCUUUAUAGCGGCUAUUUGGGGUGCUAAUGCGGGCCAAUUUGUAGAAGAUCUUGGCGAGGCGGCGCUUGCAUGAGUAUAUGGUUUUGUUGAUGGAUGUGAGGAUGACAGAAGAGGCAGCAACCGGCUCAAUCUUAACUGGAGAUUUCUUGCGCUGGCGGCGGCGGCUGCCCCGGUAAUCUCUAAUUGACUUUGUUGGGGUUCUCUUGAGGGCCUUGCACACCAUUUUUGGUUCUAUAGAA